UGAGUGGCGGACGGGUGAGUAACGCGUGGGCAACCUGCCCUGUACAGGGGGACAACACUUAGAAAUAGGUGCUAAUACCGCAUAACGGGGGGAGCCGCAUGGCACCCCCCUGAAAACUCCGGUGGUACAGGAUGGGCCCGCGUCUGAUUAGCUGGUUGGCAGGGUAACGCCUACCAAGGNGACGAUCAGUAGCCGGCCUGAGAGGGCGGACGGCCACACUGGGACUGAGACACGGCCCAGACUCCUACGGGAGGCAGCAG
rnacentral:rRNA from 1 species